GAUCCUGGCUCCGGAUGAACGCUAGCGACAGGCUUAACACAUGCAAGUCGAGGGGCAUCAUGAGGUAGCAAUACCUUGAUGGCGACCGGCGCACGGGUGAGUAACGCGUAUGCAACCUGCCUGAUACCGGGGUAUAGCCCAUGGAAACGUGGAUUAACACCCCAUAGUACUUUUAUCCUGCAUGGGAUGUGAGUUAGAUGUUCAAGGUAUCGGAUGGGCAUGCGUCCUA
rnacentral:rRNA from 1 species